rnacentral:lncRNA from 10 species
CCAAUGCUCAGCUGUCAGAGAGAUGGCACUGAGAAGGGCAUCAGAACCCAAACAGCACCCAGGCUGUUUCCAGAUGCGGGGCUGCAUUCACUCAAAGGUCUGACUGUGGGUAGGUCAGAGAGGGUGAAGGACCUGAAGCAGGUCCAGAUAAGAGGAAGCAAAGUGAGGAGUGGAUGGAAGGUGCCGGGCUGUCUCUUGAGUCUUAGGUGAAAAUACCAAGGCUGGCAGAUGGCAGCGUCUCCAUUAGAUCAUCCUGGGGUACAGGCUGAGCUAGAAACAUCACAGGGAGAAUGGAACAGCCAGUCCCAACAUCCACUGGAGCUCCAAUAUAGGGCCUGCUCCUGCCUUCGCUCAGGCCCUCAGGACCUCCCGCUGAGGUGACUGGGCCCGCGCACGGGCUUGCAGUCUGGACUCUCUGCUUCUGCCCUCACUGCUGUCGGGGUAAGCUUCAAAAAAUACAAGCGGAGCCAUUCACCUUCCCCUAAAUCUUUCAACAACUCUCAAAGGCCUAAAGGAUAAGUUUAAACUCUUUGGCAUGGCCUUCUCUGGUCAUCUCAGAAUUGGCCUCAACCUACCUUUAAAGUCUCAGAUUCUGUAACAUCCCUCUGCAUGCCUUGGGCUCUGCACAAGAGAAGAUAAUCAGAUACAGACAAGGCCUUGCCAGCAAAGGACAGUGCCUGGCAUGUUCAGGUAAGGGAGAAUUCAUUGCGAUCCCUUCUUCUUUCUCCAUAGCACACAGCAUGGUGCUCUUUUCCACAAAUAAGAAUGCCUUAUUGAAUUCUCCCUUACUUGAGCAUGCCAGGCACUGUCCUUUGCUGGCAUGGCCUUGUCUGUAUGUGAUUAUCUUCUCUUUUUUGCCCAUGGGCAUUUAACCUAUGUUUCAAGUGCCUCUGAAAAGCCAUCACUGAUCUCAGGUGAGAAUUUUUGGCUUCUUGCACCUCCUGAUUUGACUCUAACUGGAGAUAGGCCCACCUCUUUGAAGUUGUUGUAAGUGGAUCGAGGUCAGUGACUGUGUAAAAAUCAUUUGGUGCUGUCUACUGUGCCCAGCUCAGUGCCAGGCUUAUAGCGAGUGCCCUGUGGAUGGUGAAUAAAUGAACCAGAAGCCCUUGCUUGAGGUGAGUGAUAAUGAACCACAGAGGUACUUCCAGGAAAGGCAAGGUAGUAAAGAAGCUGUGAAGAGUUGCGUGUCCCUUUUCUUUAGCUAUCAUUAUUCAUUUGCCAGGCUGAGCUCAGCAGCCCUGCCACAGAUGGAUAUAGGCUUGGAGGCCUGGAGGCCUGUUCCAAAUGGGCCCAGCUAUUCUUGGGAGCUUUUUGUGUGAUAAAGAGAGUCCCCCGACUGGCCCACUGACCUUUCCCCAGGCCUCCUGAAGGCUGAGUUAUUGCCUUGUGGUGCAUAGCAGAAGAGCCGCUUCCCUCCCCAGAGAAAGAAGUAAAAACAUGCAGGAGGGAGGGUAAUAAUAGCUUCCACUUAUGGAGCAUUUACAAUGUGCCAGGCAGUCUGGUAAGCAUUUUUUGAUAUAUUUUCCUGUUUCAUUCUUAGGACGCCUUGGUGAGUUAGGAAUGAUAAGAAUGUGAGGCUCAGAAUGCUUAGGUCACUUGCCUAAGAUCACACAGCGAGGAACUGGUGGAGCUGGGCUCUGGACCCAGGUCUUUCUGACUCCAGAAGUCCACAUUCUUAUCAACUGCAUUUUACAGUCUCGGGUGCGACAGGGCAUCUGCGGCUCCCCUGCUCUUUGGGAGGACCCCUGUCACCCAGAGGUUGGUUUCAGGGCUCUGGAUGGGCAGUUGGUUUGUGAGGGCCACUCUCUUCCCUGGGGUAUGAGAGAGAGAGAGAGAGAGAGAGAGAGAGAGAGAGAGAGAGAGAGAAGAGACAGAGAGAGAGAGACAGAGACAGAGAGAGAGAGACAGAGAGAGAGAGAGAGAGAGAGAGAGACAGAGAGAGAGAGAGAGAGAGAGGUGGAGGAGGGAGAGAGCCAGAGGGAGAGGAGAGAAUUUAUUCCGCUGAUUAUGCUGCUUAUUCUGUUGGGGGCAGCCUGGGUGACAGAAACAUAGCAUGCCAAUAAAGAGUGUCUUUAUGGCCCCACCGACCACAAGGGCUAGAAAGUCUCUAGCUGGAGAUAAAGUCAGGAGAGAUGGAUUAGACCCUGUCAGGAUCUCGGGCAGUAGAGAAAGGAGGAGGCAGGAAGCUCAGAUGGAGCCUGUGGAGCUUGGGGGCUGUGGGGGUCUUGGCCCAUCAUGGCGGCUGCUACUCAUCCUAUGGGAGGCGGCCGCUCUUCCUGUGCGCUAAUUCCUGUCCGCUAAGCCUCUGCUUGCCUCUUUCUAAGAAAACUCUGAUAUGGUACGAAGCACAUUCUAAUCACCACAUCUAAUUACAAAAAAGAGAGUAAAUCACCAAACAAAAUUAGUUUUCAGAGUCCUAAUUAUCACCAGAAAGAGUAAUUAAUAAGCAAAACAGGAAAUGACCCAGCCAAGUCCUAUAGCCUGCAAAGAUGUGCUUCUCUCCUUGGUACACAUUUGAGUGAGGAGUGGGCGGGAUCUGCACCACCAAAACCUCAGAGCCCCGGAGGGCAUUAAACAUUACCUAGGGCUGCACACAUUCUCAGAAGUUUGCAUGCGUUUCAAACUUGGUUUGCAAACUUUCUAGGUCGUUCCUUCCAGGCCCCUUUCUUUCCCAGGCCUUGAGGCCAGAGUAAGGCAGCAGAAUUAGAAUAAAUAGACCGUCCUCUCCUUUUCUCUCCCCGAGUGUAACAGGCUCUGGGCCAGAAACUCUCAAACCAAUUGAUAAUAACAAGCUCAAGUUCAAUGCCAUUGGCUGUCUGGUGAGACCUCCCUGGCUUUUCUUGUCUCUGCUCUUCGGUAAUUCACUUCUGAGCAGGGUGCAGAACAGUAAACUAUAAUUUAAACAAGAAUCGAGACCUAAUUUAAAUCAUCGGAUCUACUGCGGAAAAAGGCAAACAGAACGACUAUAUUCUGCACGUGAUUUAGAGCUUCGCCUCGGUGCCAUUUCCGGGAGACCUAGAAAGUUCCAAGUUCUGAUCUCCCCUUCCCUACCUCUUUUCUUGACGUCUCUGGAACAAGCUAUCUGAAAGGAGAAAUAGUCACAUCACAAUUUUUUUUUUCUGGGCUCAUGUGAAUAUUGUUUCAGGGACAAGAAGAAAAAAAAAUUUGUCUUCUCUAUUUCCUUAAGAAGGUCAGCAAGAUGGAACAGUUGCAUUUCAUAUGCAGCCUCUCGAAGGACAUUCAUUUUCUCCAGCAGAGCCCCAGGGUGGACAAGGAGGGCCAGCUGUGUGCAGCGUCUGUUGUGUACAGCAUUCAGGACAAUGUCCUCUUGGAUCCCGAGCUCUCCACACAGACAGAGCAGAUAAAGGAAGGUCCCUCUCCUGGUCUUCCUUCCAGGGAGGCUGUUGCUGAGAGAGGUUAAGGGACCUCCCAGAGUCCUCCUCAGGUGGGAGCGGAAGGUUGGCAUUGCUGACCUCCCAUAAGCUUUUACCUGAACUUGGGCUCUGCCUGUCUUUGUUCUGAGGAAUGAGACUGCAAAGAAGCUCCCGAUCUGAAAAGGUGGCAUUUGCUAAGUUAGAAAAUGGAAGUACCACCCAGUCUGGGGGAUCCCAUAGGCACCCAAGAGUGCACCAAGCCACUAGGACCAAGCUCACCUGAGAGUCCCACCCUGCUCGGAAUAUGCAGACUUGGUGUCCUGUCGCUUUAAAGCACUCCAUGCCUGGAAAUGCCACGGCCCACAUGGAAUGGGCACAGCCAACAACUCUCCAAGGAGCCCCAGCAAUGAAUGAUGAGCAUCUCCCCUGAACCCAUCUCCCCAUGUCCGGUGUUUAAAGUGAAUUGAAAUGAAUAUCUGAUAAAUGAAUAAACCUGUAAAUGGAAUCAAAAACCUUAUGAACUUGAAGGAGAAAUAGGAGUCCCAGGUCUGUUAAGUCUAAAUUGAAUAAAUCUGAUCAACUGCCUGACAAUUUCUGCCAACAGCUUUUGAAGAGGAAGAAAAGGGGUGAGCAGAGAAAUUGGGUAGAGGAGAGGGAAGAGCGAGUGGGGUAGGGGAGGCAGGCAUGACUCAGUAAUGAAGCUAUCACCAGGAGUCCCCAGUGUUCCUUACCUGGACUAAUAAAUGGAUGACAAUAGGAGUUCCUUGCAAGUCUGUCUGCUCCUGUGUGUCUGCCCAGAGGACACCUCUAGAGAAUGAGAGAUUUGCAUAAAAUGGGGCCAAAGUCUCCUUUUGGGCCUUGCUGGACAAGGAGCUGAGGAAGAACUCUGGAGUCCUGGAAUCAGCUACUGGGCCUAGAUGAUCUCACCUGCUAGGAUGGGUCUGUAUGUUUGGGUAGCUUGAGCUGGAGGCAGGGAGGUCACAUUGAGGAUGCGCUCAAUGGCUCUCGAUUUGGCCUCUGCCACUCUUUGUUCUGUUGGGUAACUUACUUCCUGCAGUGGUUUUAAACAUGGCCACAGACUUCUUUAACACUCAUCUUAGUGAGAGGUGGUGGUGGUGGAUCUGUGUCUUCUUCUCUUGAAUCUAGGUGGCUUUGUGACUCCACUAAUACAGAACAGUGGCAUUGAUGCUGUCUGACUUUCCAGGCUGGGCUGGAAAAGGUUGUGCAACUUCUGCCUGAGUUUCUUGGGACACUGUCAUUGGGGGAAAACAGCCCCUAUGUAGGAAAUCCAAUUGCCCUGAGAGUGCCAUGCUGGAGAGGUGUUCCUGUUCAAGGCCAUGCCCCACUGAGCUCCCGGCCAGUGGCCAGGCUGGCCGUGGGGAAUGAACCCCGUGAGCCACUCAGUCUCGCCCAGCCUUCAGAUGACUGCAGUUCCAGCCCAUGUGUGACUGCAGCAGCUAAGUCACAGCUGCCUCGUCAAACUCUCCCCAAAUUUUUGACCUGCAAAAGUACAAACGCUAUAAAAUUAUUGUUUUAAGCUACUAAUUCAGGAGUAAUUUGUUAAUAGCAACCAAAACACACCCCUUCUUGGGUUUCAAUUUUUUUUCUGAACCAUGAAGGGUUAGACUAGAUAAUUUUUAAAACCAUACUUUGAAAGUUUUAAAUAGUAGAUGAACUUUUUUCAAUUGUUUUUAUUGUAGUAAAAUAUACAUAAAAUUUACCAUCUUAAACAUUUUUAAGUGUACGGUUCAGUGGUAUUAAAUAUAUUCACAAUGUUGUGUAACCAUCAUCACCAUCCAUCUCCGUAACUCAUUUCGUCCUGCAAAACUGAAACUCUGUACACAUUAAACAAUAACUCCGUCUUCCCCUUUCUCCUCCAGCCCCUGACAUCCACCAUUCUACUUUCUGCCUCUAUGAUUUAGACUACUCUAGGUAUCUCACAUAAGUGGAAUCAUACAAUGUUUGCCUUUUGGGCCUGGUUUAUUUCACUCAGCAUAAUGUUUUCAUGGUUCAUCCAGGUUGUAGUAUGUACCAGGAUUUCUUUCCUUUUUAAGACUGGAUAAUAUUUCAUUGUAUGUAUAUACAACAUUUUGCUUAUCCAUUCAUUUGUUGAUAGACACUUUUGUUUUUGCCAUGUUUUAGCUAUUGUGCAUUAAUGCUGGUGUGAACAGGAGUGUACAAAUGGAAAGAACCUGCUUCCAAUUAUGUCAAAUAGAUACCCAGAAGUGGAAUUGCUGAUUUACAUGGUAAUUUUAUUUUUAAUUUUUUGAGAAACCACCACACCGUUUUUCACAGUGGCUGUCCCAUUUUUGCAUUCCUGCCACCAGUGUACAAGGAUUCCAGUUCCCCACACCCUCAUCAACACUUGUUAUAUAUAUAUUUUUACAAUAGCCAUGAUAAUGGAUAUGAAGAGGUGUCCCAUUGUUGCUUUGAUUCACAUUUCUCUAAUGAUUAGUGAUGCUGGACAUCUUUUCAAAGCAUGUUUUUUUUAAAAAAGGAGUUCAAACAUCAUAAAAGGAUAACAGAAAUUAAACAGUUUUCUUCCCUACUCCUGAGUUCUUCUCACCACUGAGAGGUAACUAACUUUAACAUAUGACUGAUUCUUCCAGAAAUGCUUGUUGUGAUUACAACAUAAUUAUAUCUUUAUAAAAUUACACAUAGAAUUAUAUCAUAGUUAAUUUUUGUAAUUUCCUUUUUUUCCACUUACUGAUACAGAUUGGAGAUAUUUCCAUACCAGUAUACAUAGGUCUACUUCAUUCUUAAUAUCUGCAUAAUUCCAUGGCAUGGCUUGGUCAACGUUUACUUCUCUAGUCACUGUUGAUGGGUAUUUCAGUUGCUUCUAGGUUGUUUGGUUGGUAUUUUUUGCUACUGUAAUAAUACUGCAUUGACUAUUAUUGUAUACUUGUUUAUGCUUUUGUAGGUCAAAUUCCUAGAAGUACAGUUUCUGGGUCAAAGGAUAUGCAUUGACAAUUUUGAUAAUUAUUGCCAAAUUUGUCUUUUAAAGAGGUGGCACAUAUUUAUACCACCACAAUGAGGAAGCUAGUAUCCUGCUACCUUUAUUAUCUUUCAGGUUUUGUCAUCUGCUGGAAGAAAAUAAUAUUCUGUUUUCAAGUUUUCAUUUCUUUAAUUGUGAAGUUGAGCAUUUUUAUAUGCACUUUGAUGAUUUUUUAUACAAAAUUUCAAUCAUGCAAAAGUAGAGAGACUAUAUCAUGAACUCCCAUAAGUAGAUCACCCCAAGUCAACUGUCAUUAUGGGUUUACCACUUGUUUCAAGAUUGAUGAUUUUUAAUUUCUAUUUUUCAUUGAAUAGCUAAUUUAUAUCCUUUGCCAAUUCUAUAGGGCUGUUCAUAUUUUGUUUUUUUUUAAAUGGUUUGUCGGAGCUUUUCUUAUCAUAACAAAUUAACUUUUUGCCAUUAUAUGUUACAAAUAUUUUUCCUAUUAAACUUGUGUUUUGAUAUUAUUAAAGGUCUUUUUGUACAGAAGCAAUUUUACUUUUUAUAUCAAAUUUAUCAAUCUUUUAAAAAGAUUUGUAGUUUUGUGUUUUCAAUGAUCUUCUCUACUCCAGGA